rnacentral:misc_RNA from 1 species
CAUAUCACCUUAACAAAAUGAUAUGAAUUAUCCCGUGACCCCUAAACGAAAUCAGUGUGUUACAUUUACUUUUGACUCCAAUAUUGUGAAUUUUUCUGACACUGAUACUGUUAACUGUUACAAGCCUAGUUAGGUUGAUUUUUUGUUUUGUAGAAUGAUAAAAGGUGAAUAUGAAGACUAUUGUGAAAAGGAGAUGUUUCUUUUUUUCAUUUCAAUUUUUUAAAUUAAUUAGGAGGGCUGGAAGGUGGUAGCCAUUUUUAGGUUACAUGUGUGAAAUAUUUUCAUGUAUUUUUACUUUCUUUAGACGAAAAGCUCUAUAUUAAGAUAUAAGGAAAUGUUAAAGUAUUCAGGUUUGUUAUCUACUAAAUGAUCAUGAUACUUUACGGCCAAAAACAACACAGGCGCGUCGGAACCGUGGGAGGGGGAGGGGCUCUUAGCCUCCUUCCGUUUUUUUGGUAAAAGAUAUAAGAUUUGCAUAACUGGAACUGUAACCAAAAUCCCUUUUUUUGAGGGUCAAGAUAUUUUGAUUAGUCUAGCACCCCCCCCCCAAUUUAAGGAAAAUCUGAUGGUUAAUUUAGUGAACACCCAGCCUCCUUAAGUUUACUAUGAAAAUUAAAAAAUAUUUUAAUAACAGAAUGAACAGGCUAAUGUAUAUUCAUGCCAUGUUUGUAAAUACUACCGCUAGAUCUGAGUGCUAUACAAUUGUCCUCAUGUACCAUAUGUAAAAAUUUAAGGCGUUGAGAGUAUAAACGAACUGAACUUAGUGUAAAUCAUAAUAAUAGGAUUCAACGAAGUUGUUUGUUAUUGUUGAAUGUUGUACAUGUUGUAAUUAUCAAUUUUUAAUUUAAUUUGAUUGAUUUAUGUGUGCUGUGUACAUAAACAAUUUGCAUGCUUAUAUAGAAUCGGGGCUGUUAUAGGCUACCUUUAGAUUAUUCUGCUACGAAAUUCAUGUGUAAAUAUUCAUGAUAUUUAUGAUUUAUGUUUAAUUAUAGUAUGUGUGUAUUGUUAUUCUAUUAUUUAUUUAAUAAAUCAACUGCUUUGUUACAUUUAAGAU